rnacentral:rRNA from 1 species
UACGAAGGGGGCUAGCGUUGUUCGGAAUCACUGGGCGUAAAGCGCACGUAGGCGGACUUUCAAGUCAGGGGUGAAAUCCCGGGGCUCAACCUCGGAAUUGCCUUUGAUACUGUAGGUCUCGAGUCCGGAAGAGGUGGGUGGAAUUCCUAGUGUAGAGGUGAAAUUCGUAGAUAUUAGGAAGAACACCGGUGGCGAAGGCGGCCCACUGGUCCGGUACUGACGCUGAGGUGCGAAAGCGUGGGGAGCAAAC